rnacentral:rRNA from 1 species
CCUACGGGGGGCUGCAGUAAGGAAUAUUGGUCAAUGGAGGAAACUCUGAACCAGCCAUCCCGCGUGAAGGAUGAAGGGGCUCUGCCUUGUAAACUUCUUUUGUCUGGGGCGAAAAAGCUCGAUUUAUCGAGAACUGACGGUACCAGACGAAUAAGCACCGGCUAACUCCGUGCCAGCAGCCGCGGUAAUACGGAGGGUGCAGGCGUUAUCGGGUAUCAAGGGGUUUAAGGGGUGCGAGUAAGUCUGAGGAGAAAGGCUGUGGCUGAACCAUGGAAUUGCCAUUGAGACUGCAGAGCUUGAAUGAGGUUGAGGUUGGCGGAAUGUGACAUGUAGCGGUGAAAUGCUUAGAUAUGUCAUGGAACACCGAUUGCGAAGGCAGCUGACUGGACCUAUAUUGACGCUGAGGCACGAAAGCGUGGGGAGCGAACAGGAUUAGAUACCCUUGUAGUC